rnacentral:sRNA from 1 species
GAUAUGCAAAUCAUUAAAUUACCUGGCGUCCAUAUAGCAAGCAAAUAAGAACAUGGAUCAUCAGGUUCUCUCUUUUCCAACUGCCACAAGAAAUCACA